rnacentral:rRNA from 1 species
CUGAUGCAGCCAUGCCGCGUGUGUGAAGAAGGCCUUCGGGUUGUAAAGCACUUUCAGUUGUGAGGAAAAGUUAGUAGUUAAUACCUGCUAGCCGUGACGUUAACAACAGAAGAAGCACCGGCUAACUCCGUGCCAGCAGCCGCGGUAAUACGGAGGGUGCGAGCGUUAAUCGGAAUUACUGGGCGUAAAGCGCACGCAGGCGGUUUGUUAAGCUAGAUGUGAAAGCCCCGGGCUCAACCUGGGAUGGUCAUUUAGAACUGGCAGACUAGAGUCUUGGAGAGGGGAGUGGAAUUCCAGGUGUAGCGGUGAAAUGCGUAGAUAUCUGGAGGAACAUCAGUGGCGAAGGCGACUCCCUGGCCAAAGACUGACGCUCAUGUGCGAAAGUGUGGGUAGCGAACAGGAUUAGAUACCCUGGUAGUCCACACCGUAAACGCUGUCUACUAGCUGUGUGUGUCUUUAAGACGUGCGUAGCGAAGCUAACGCGCUAAGUAGACCGCCUGGGGAGUACGGCCGCAAGGUUAAAACUCAAAUGAAAUUUGACGGA